AACGAACGCUGGCGGCAGGCCUAACACAUGCAAGUCGAGCGGCAUUACGGGGGAGCGGCGGACGGGUGGGUAACGCGUGGGGAACGGGCGUUCUCUACGGAAUAGCCUCGGGAAACUGAGAGGAAUACCGAAUAAGACUUAUGGGGGUAAGGUUUAUCGGGGAAGGUUUAGCCCGCGUUGGAUUAGGUAGUUGGUGGGGUGAUGGCCUAGAAGGCGGACGAUCCAUAGGGUGUGUGAGAGGCUGAUCAAGCACACCUGGACUGGGCCGCGGCCCAGACUCCUGCAGGAGGCAGCAGUGGGGAGUCUUAGACUAUGGGGUCAAUCCUGAUCGAGCCAGGCUGCUUGAGUGAUGAAGUCCUUAGAGUUGUAAAGCUCUUUCAGCUGGGAAGAUAAUGACGGUACCAGCAGAAGAAGCCCCGGCUAACUCCGUG
rnacentral:rRNA from 1 species